ensembl:lncRNA
GGCUGAAAAGGAGGUCUUCUAACUACCCUCCCUUUCCGCGUGCGAACGACUUUCGGCGCCGCUUCGAGAACGGUGCCAGGUGAUUAGCGGUUAGGGGCGGGCCCGAGCUGAUCACGUGAUCAAACCUGGCCGCCAAUGAUUAGCCGGGUGUUCCAGCAGCGCGAGGAUUCCCGGACCCGUGUGCGGAGCGGCUCGUGGGCCCGCUGCGGUCGGCCCUGGCAGGAGGACAAUCUUGUUCAGAACUCAUCUUAGAAGUCAGAGUCUCAGGGAAGUUAGAGUUCUGCUGUUCAGACCUCCAUCAUUGUAUUUAUUUGACUAUAUUAAAAAAUUGUAAUGGAAUAUAAAUACACUGUUUUAACUAGUUGAGUCCAGGAAGUUGACAACUAAGUGGAUGUUGUACACAAGCUCAUAAUCUGUCAUCUUCAUCAACAGCCACUGCCACACAUAGCACCUUCUUCAUCUGGAG